rfam:Brassica napus, WGS project CCCW01000000 data, contig: 1946
ACACUUUGCCAAGUUGUUGAAUGCUCAGGAAAUUUCUGAGUAUAAUGAUUCACUUAAAUAAGAAGAUCUGAUGU